GCAUCUUUAUGUAACAUAACAUAAACACCUGUAGCGUUGAAUUAACUCUUACGUGUUUUAAGUUUUAUUACUCGCGCUUGUGUAUAUCACUGGAAUAUCGAAUAAAGUAUCGGACGAUCGUUGUAGUUCGAGAAGAGUAGCAGAACAAGACAGCAGAAUUCCAGCGAGAAAACGGCAUUCGUCAAAAUAAUUUCACAGGUAUUCGUCAUCCAUUCUGUCCCAAAGUUUUCGCAAAUAUGUUGUAAUAGUGCUUUUUGGUAUAUCUGGAUAAUCUUUCUCUAACAGAAUUAAAUUAUUUUCAUAAUAAAUUCUAAAUACAAACUCA